UUGACAGACCGUGAAAAAAUUGAUGCAAAUUUUUAAGGUUUAUUCAAUUAUUAUUGAAAUUAAAGGAUAUAUCAUAGGAUAUAUUUACUACAUUUCUCUCUGUACGAUGGCACUUCGAAGCUCACAUCACAAUUGAAUUUUUUCCCAUAAUCGGAAAGUUAGGCACAUAUAAAUUCAUUAUAUCAAGAAAUGUAUGAAAUUCAUAAAUGUCAAAUAUCAUCUAUCGGAAAGUCUCAAUUUAAAUAAAAAAAGCUUCUUCAGGGGUGAGCUUCUAAGCAAUUGGUUCAGAAGAGUUUCUAUUUGAAGUAUAUGAUCCAUGAGUCAAGGUUACAGAAUGUACUUCAGAUUAAAUUACAUGCAAACUCACAGAAUGAGAAACAUCCUUGAUCUUGGUGUAUGAACAUAAGAAUUUCUAGAUAACAAACGGUUCUUGGGGGCAUAUAUAAAUUUAUCAGAUCAAGAAAUGUAUAAUAUCAUCUCUCGGACGGUGUUAUUUGGUAAAAAAAAAUGUUCUUCAGAGUAAGUUUCUUGAGCAGUUCGUUCAGGAGAGUUUUUAUGUGAAGCAAAUGAUCUAUUUCGAUUGUUUUCAACUGACCACAGCAGAUUUCUGACAACUUUCAAGCAAUUGGGUAGUGUACGGAGAUGAUUUUCUUAGGCUUGAUUUAUGGAAAAAUAUGUUUUGAGAUAAGUUAUUCAGUUGGAAUGAUAUAAUGAUUAUUGAAACACAAUCUAUGAGUGAGUUUUUGCGUUAAAAUUCUAUAUUUAUAGACAUUUGUCAAGUUCUACCAUUUAGGGUAAGAUUUUUGCUAUUAUCGUAGAGAGAGGGACCGUGUAGGUUUUUGUUCAAAAUAAACAGAAUUAAACGUUAUAAUGCUU